rnacentral:rRNA from 1 species
CCCUUAGACGUUCUGGGCCGCACGCGCGCUACACUGACGAAGGCAACGAGCUACUCUUCACCGAAAGGUGUGGGUAAUCUUUUGAAACUUCGUCGUGCUGGGGAUAGAUCCUUGCAAUUUUUGAUCUUAAACGAGGAAUUCCUAGUAAGCGCAAGUCAUCAACUUGCGUUGAUUACGUCCCUGCCCUUUGUACACACCGCCCGUCGCUAUUACCGAUUGAAUGGUUUAGUGAGGCCUUCGGAUCCGCGAUUUUAUUGUGGAGAAGUUGGACAAACUCAGUCAUUUAGAGGAAGUAAAAGUCGUAACA